CCUACGGGUGGCAGCAGUGAGGAAUAUUGGUCAAUGGACGAGAGUCUGAACCAGCCAAGUAGCGUGAAGGAUGACUGCCCUAUGGGUUGUAAACUUCUUUUAUAUGGGAAUAAAACGUUCCACGUGUGGGAUUUUGUAUGUACCAUAUGAAUAAGGAUCGGCUAACUCCGUGCCAGCAGCCGCGGUAUUACGGAGGUUCCGAGCGUUAUCCGGAUUUAUUGGGUGUAAAGGGAGCGUAGGUGGAUUGUUAAGUCAGUUGUGAAAGUUUGCGGCUCAACCAUAAAAUUGCAGUUGAAACUGGCAGUCUUGAGGACAGUAGAGGUGGGCGGAAUUCGUGGUGUAGCGGUGAAAUGCUUAGAUAUCACGAAGAACUCCGAUUGCGAAGGCAGUUCACUGGACUGCAACUGACACUGAGGCUCGAAAGUGUGGGUAUCAAACAGGAUUAGUACCCCAGUAGUC
rnacentral:rRNA from 1 species